AUUGCUUCUCGGCCUUUUGGCUCAGAUCAAGUAUAGUAUCUGUUCUUAUCAGUUAAUAUCUGAUAUGUCCUCUAUCUGAGGACAUUAUAUUAAAUGUAUUUCUAGAGUAGGGAGAUGGGAUAGGAGCUUGCUCUGCCUACUACACACAUCGACCCGGUACUGCAGUACCUCUAGGAAUGGUGUACAAAAA